rnacentral:lncRNA from 1 species
GAGUUGACGACGGAUUCGGCAGAGUCGAAGAAAGGUUCGACGGGGACACGUUCGUGACGGCGGGCGAGGGGGUUGGCGGAGUGGAUAUCAGAAUCGCACGUGACGCAGAGAGCAGCGGCGUCAGCUUUGCACGUGACGGAUGCAGGUGCUUGUUCGCAUACCUCACACAUCCACACGCGCUCGUGGCGCGAAGACAGCUUGUUAGCACAGUGAAUCCUGGAAUCGCAAUUGAUACAUAGAAACGCGGAAUGAGAACGGCAAAAAAGCGCGGCAGAAGACAGUUUGCAAGAAUCGCAUAGCUUAGGUGGCACACUCCAGCCGCUUCUAAAACCCUUGAGUCCACCUCCUCCUCCUCUUUCGAUACCCAUCUUCCCACUAAGAAAAUCACUUAUAUGUUAUAAACACGCUUUUGUUUGUUAAAAGUAGCUUAUUAGGAAUAGGCGUUAUAAUAGUAGUGGAGGGAUUGGCAAUAAUGUUGUUUGAAGUUGGGUGAGUAUGAUUUCUUUGGGUGCGGUUUUUCUAUUAUCUAUAGUCAAGCAACUGGUCAUAGAGAGAAAAUCUAGGUGAUGACGAAUGACAAGGUGACACGUGGGUGUAUAUUGGCCAUGUAAAUCUAAAUAGAGAUAUAUCUAUUAGGGAGUUGUAGUUGUCAUCGUGUUUUGUCUCUGCCGACGUGGGACCUCCACGGACAUUAGAUCCAAUCACCUUCUUAUUAUCAUUAUUAUAAUUUCAAAAGAAAUUAGACACUAAAUUAAUCUGGAAAGGCACCCGGAUAAGUCCAAAAAUAUUUAUACUGUUAAAUUGAAUAUUAUAUUAAAUAUUAUGUUUUAAAUUUGAGUUCGAUAUUUUAUAAUUGUCUAUAUAUUUUUUUUAUUAUUUUAUUUAUGGAUAAGAAAAAAAUUUGAAGGGCACAAGAAUAAAUCCAUCUCUUUAUUUUUGUAAACAAAAAAAUUUUAUUUUGAUUGGAAUUCAAACUCAGUAUAUUGAACUUGAAUUUGAGAUGGAUAUUAGUUUAAUGUUCUUAGAUUCAUCUUUCUAUAGUUUAAAGUAUUUUUUUUGCAUCUACAUCAUAUUCAGGUACAUAUCCAUUGUCAUGUAAUCAUAAUUUGAACAUCACACGAUCAAUCAUUCAACAGUUUAAGAGACUCAGAAUACAUAUCAUCAUUCAAUAAGGAGUCCCCUUUAAAAUCUUACUAGUUUAUGGUGCAUGAUAUACAAUGCAUUUAUUUCAUAAUACCUCUCAUUCUCUAUAACUUUUACUGAUCUGGACGUCAUAGUUUUGCUGCACACCCAUUGAGUCAAUAUAACUAUGUUGUUGCAAUCCAACUCUAGCCAUCAUUGAAGUUUUGCUCCUAAUCAAACUUCAUCUCUUAUCUUGUAAUAGCAAUUGCAAUUAUAAAAUGGGUCAAUCUUCUCCUAUUUUGUCUCGUUUUACCAUUAAUAUUGUUUAAAAAUAGAGCAAUUAUAAUGAAAUUCUCACUUUAUACUCCCUCUCCAUUCUUUUCUUGACGAGUUAUCAAAGUUAAUUGUUUAAUAUGCCAAUAAUAAAAAUUAAAUUAACGUAAUAAUUUUUAGGCGAAUUGAUUUAUCAAAAACAAAAUAAAAAAUUCAAAUAUAAUCCACUAAACUUCAAUAUAAUUCAACAGCUAUCAUGUAAGAAAUUAAACUUAAUAAGGGUCUUUGGACACUUGUUAGUAUAUCUUAUUUGUUAUUAUUUUGUUGAUAUGACAUUAAUUAAAUCACCCUGUAUCACCAUAUAAAUUAGGAUUAUUAAAUUCUACUUUCAACAAUCAUAAAAGGAUAUAAACAAAAGUCAAAAUUCAAUUUACAUCCUCAUUAUAUUUCUUUUUUUAAUAAUUUUUAUUAAUACUUUAUUCUUGUUAACAUUAACUAUUUUAAAAAUAGUAAUGAGUAUAAUAUUUUUGAUAGAUGAUACCAAAAAAUAAAUAAACACUUUUUUUAAUUUUUUAAUAAAGGUGGAUAAUCCAAUGUAGUAGUCCACUACAUACUAAUAUUUAAAUAUCGUUCGUUCUUCAAAAACAUAAAUUAAUCAAUUUGAUGAAUAUUAGAAAGAAAAAAAUAUAUAUCCACCUCAAAAUUCUGUUUGUGCAAUCAACGUGGCUUCAAUAAACAUUUCCUCUGUCACUCACACAGAUCCAAAUAUUAAUUAGGAGACACAAUUGAGAAGAGGCGACACGCUCAAGCUGGCACUGAGAGCUAUCAACUUGCUCACAUGGGAUAAAACGAAAGGGUGUAAAAAUAAUUAAAUAAUUCAUUUAUUUUAAUCAUUGGAUUUUAAAAGUUUUUGCAAAAAGUAUAUUAAUUUUAUGGUUUAAUUGCGGUUUUGCAAAAAGCUAAAUCGCGAAAGUAGUGUCUCAUUUUGUUUCUUCCCUGUUUUGGUCACCAAACAAAAUUGUAGUCUAAAAUUUGAUUAAAUUUCAUUUUUUAAAGUCGUACUACACCAUUUAUGAUCAUAUAUUUCAGAUACAAUUAUUGCAAAUGAAAUCUUGAGGCAUGAUGUGACUUAAAUAAAUGCAAAAAAAUGAAAUUUCAUAAAGUUUUGGACCAAAAUUCUGUUUGGGGACCAAAACUGGAGAAAAACAAAAUGGAGAGAUUACUUUCGCAAUUCAGCUAAAAUAGGGAAACCAAAACUGCAAUUAAACCUAAUUUUAUUUAUAUUGAAAACAUGUAAAAGUUAUGCGAAAAAAGCGUUUCUCAACAUGAAAUAUUAAGUGGCGGGAAAUAUUUUUCUAUUUAGUGUUUUUUUUAGAUAAGCUUCUAUUUAGUGUUUAAAGGUUUUAAUUAUGUAAUAAAAUAAUUUGAUAAUAGUUUAAUAUUUUGUUUUUGUUAAGAUGCCAUGCACGCCACGCUAAAAAUGAAGAUAUUAAACUUCGAGAAUUUUGGCAAAAAAAUCUGUACCAGAAUAUAAAACACAUUUGAGAGUUUGUCUUAAAAUUAAAUGAUGAAUUUUUAUAAGUAUGAGUCAGGAAUUGAAUUCCUUACUACAUGUUGGAGGGAUUUUUGGGUACAACAUGCUGGAGGGUUCUAAUUAAAUUGGUUGCCGAACCAUGUGCUUGAUAUUUAGUUUGUUCAAUAUUAAUUGUUUUUUAAAUUGAUGAUUCAAUUUAAAUAAGUUGUUCAUAAAAUUAAUAUGAAAUCUUCUGUCAUUCUCCCAAAAUAUCCUUCAAAGAUGGCUUUUGACUCAUUUAGUUAUCUUACUUUCAAGAAGAACUCUUUUACAGAUUUUAUGAGCUAACACUUUUAGAUGCACUCUUCUCUAUAAAUGAAAUAUUUUGUUAUUUUGAAGCCAAAUAGGAUUAAAUUAGUCCGGGUUGGCUUUGUUUUAGGUCCACAAUAAGUAUACUAAUUAAAAAUAUUGAUUUGGUUUAGUUCAAUUUUUUUUAUUUUUUUAUGGACAUAAUUUUGCAAUUUUUUUUUUGUUUGCAUAAUUGAAACUAAAUUAAUAUGACACACAACAAGAUCGUUUAAUUUGAUUAUAGAAAGAAGUUAAAGGAUGAAAUUGUGAUUUAAAAUUAAAUUAAACAUCAACCACAAGAAUAAUUGUCUUAAUUUUUUCUUCAUUUAUUUUUUCUUGUCCAAACCAAGGAUUUGGGUAGGCAAGUUAAUAUUCAAAACUUUUUAACUUGUUAGGUAUGCGGUGUCUUCAUUUCAGCCAGAAAUAGAUAAAUUAAUUAAUUUGAAAGACGGUUCUGACUUGUGAGCAUUUGGUGAUGAUAUCUUAUUCUUAAUAUAUUCACUUCUUUUUUUAGUAAAUUAAUAUAUAUUCACUUCUAAGUUAAUGGGUAUAUAUAUUAUUAGAUUAUAUUAUGUCGAGACAAGAAUGGUGGGCUAGUUUAGUCCACUUUCAGAGUUUCUUGGACGGUGGCAAUAAGGCACAGUGAAAAGGAAAGUAUGUAUAAAACGACAAAAGACAGAGGAAACUUGGUGGCAAAUGCCUCACGAUUUGGAGUGUGAUUGGUUGAAAGUUGAAAGGAGAGACCCAAAAAGGCUGCACUGGUCUUGUUGUGACAACCUCGAUUUUGCUCUUCCCUUCCUGAAAGGGCAUACCCUUUCGGCAUUAAUGAAUCUAUAAAUAAGGUUUCAAUUAUUUGAUCUUGACUACAGUAAGAAAUAACAUAAAAUUAAGUUGACAAAUAGGAUUUCUAAAGGCUAAAUUAAUUAACUUCGUCAAAAAAAGAGCAAAAAUUAAUUAAGGGAUAACUUGCAAACAAAUCUAACACUAGCUACGUCCUGCAACAAAAUAGGCAUACAGCCCGAAUUCUUAAAUACACUGCAUGCAUAGACUUAAAUCAUUUUUUAAAAUUCUUUUUUGUACAGAUUCUCAGUUGAUGGCACUUCCAUUAGAGAGUUCAAGAACUCAGAAACUAUUGGUGUCCCUUUCCCAAAUAAGCAGCCAAUGAGAAUAUAUUCAAGUUUAUGGAAUAUAUAUGACUAGCAACAAGAGGUGGACUUGUUAAAAAGAGAUAGGACACAAGCUCCAUUCACAGCAUCCUACAGAAAUUUUAAUGCCGAGGCUUGCAUCUAGUCUUCUGGAGCAACAUCUUUUGAUUCAAGUUCUGCUUCGAAUGCUUCCUCCAAAGGUUCCUGGCUUUCACAGGAGCUGGAUGCCAUGGGCCAAGGGAGGUGGACAUGGGUGCAGAAGAAUUACAUGAUAUACAAUUACUGCAACGAUUUCCACAUGAUUUACCUCCAGAAGUGGAUUAACGGUGAGUUUGGUGAAAAUACACUGGCCCUGUAAUUUUAUUGAAGCUUCAAAGUAUAGCUUUUACCAUAACUACAUGGAUACACCAUGAUUCUGCCAAAUCCCACGGUCAAUCUAAACAUACACUUAGAAGAUUAAUGUAAGAUAAUCAUCGUCAAAUUCUUAGAAUAACGAGGUUAUAGAAACCAGAAGAGGACAUUAACAAGGCUCACUCAAUAAGAAGAUGAAGUACCCUCAUAAAAAAAUGACGUCUCCACGUGAAAGUCACAAAGAUGACACUUACAAUUGAAGGGUUGUCACUAUAUCAUAAUCCAAUCUUUCUUGAAUUGAGAUUAUCUCGAUGCAGAGUGACUUUCCAGCAAUCAACUGGGAAUACAAACACAGAACCCUUCUUCAGAACAGCUACGUGUUGACAAAUGAAAGUAUUUGGUAAACACAAGUUUGAAAAGGAUACAUUACAGAAAAAAGAGAUACCAGAACAGAUAAAUCAUCAAAACUUCAACUUUCGCAUACGUAUCAUGGAAUUUGUAGUGCUGAAGGUUCCUAAUUCUUAAUCAACUCAUCCCCAGUAUUAUAGGAGUUACAUCCCCAAACGGAAGUGCAAACUCCCUAUACUCCCUGUGUCUCUAAUUAUAAGCACCAAUUGAAAAAUUUAUUUGUCUCUAAAUGUAAGUCCCUAUACAAAUUACUAGAAGUUAUUAUUCUUUUUCCAAAUCUAUCCCUAUUAUAACUUCUAAUUUAUCUUGGAAUAUGAAAAGUAAACAUUAAAUACAUUUAUACAUAAUGGGCAAUUUAGUAAUAACUACAAACAUAAUAUACAUUAAUUACAUCAAUCACUUUUCUUAAUAUAUGUGAAACAUCCAAAAAGUGCUUAUAAAAAGGGACGGAGAGAGUAAUUCAUUAACUAUACAUUUGCACAGCAAUCACUGGUAACAUUAAAGAUAAGCAUACACAAACAGCUUCGAUAUUAAUAUUAGCAUUAUUACUAGAGAAAUAUAGGAAUAACAGCUCUGGUAAUGGUAUAACAGUUUCUAUUUUUAUAGAGUGAAAGGAUUACCUCGGAAUUUAUUUUCUUCAGUAACUAUCCCAAAAGCUUUGCCAGUUUCGCGAAUCAUGAUGCCACCGAUUCCAACAUAAUAGGUUAGUUUACUCUCCACAACUACAAAACAUAGAUUAUUUAAGAAGAAUACCAAAAGUCCAAUCUUUUUUCUAAAUUGAAAAGACAGUGCAUGUUGAGUAAUCUACAAGGAGUUCAGAUAUAGAAAAAUUUCAACAUGAUAACAUUAAACUAAAACAACAUUCGCCAUAGAAAUGCGUUUUAAAAAAUUUGAUUCAUUUACGCGCCUAAACAUUCACCAUAAUUUACUAGCAACUUUAAAAAAAAUUCAAAUGUAAUGACUAUGAAAAAGGUUAUGCAUGCCAGUGGGGAUGGAAAGGGAGAAUUGAAGUGGGAAACUUUCCCAGAGAAGACCUGGGCACCAGGUCUGACCUGAACCAACCAGAAGCUCAUCUUUACUAUUGGACUUAUUGCAAUAAUAAACACACAAUGACUGCUAGAAGUACUACUACUAAAAUUCACUAACUCUUCCUAAAAACACCAAAAAUAGGUUUUGACGGUUCGAGUACAGCAGCAGCAACAAUUUUAGCACACCUUUCUUUCAAUGCAUAUGAAGUAAUUACACAUCAAGACAUAAGCAUCUGCGGGGAAAUAAUUAACAUCCAAUCAAUGGCAAAAUAACAGUCCUUGUAAUUAUCCCAAAAGCACCCUAUAAAGAAAGUGGUUUUGCAUUUUCCAUUGUAGGUCUUCACAACUCAUCCAAAAGCAAAAAUAGAAUAGAGGGUGCUCAAACCUAAAAUAAUAGCACCAUGUAGAUCUACACCAAGCAAAAAUUGAUUUUUCCUGGAACAUUAAACAGGUUUGUUGUCAUAAAAUGCAUCAGAGAAGAAAACUGCAGGAAAACUUGAAGAUAAGAAACUGUGAAAUUAUCAAUAACAAAGAUACCAAAAUAGUACUCAGUGGAUUUAAGCAGCAGUCUAAUAUAGUCUUUCCACAUUACAUGCAUUGGCUUGAACAUAUCAAAUCUGCAAUCAAAAUGAACAGCGAUAAGAUAAUAAAAAGAAUAUCAUUGUAGAAAAACUUAAUCAAUUAGAAUAAAGCAAAGUGAAUAAUACUUUACUUGUUCCUACUUCCUAGCGUGAAUCUAAUAAUUCCCCUAUGAAAGACGAAAUGAAAAAUUCUUAACAAUAAUAUACACUACCAAAGUUUAAGGAUCAACAGAGACCUGAAGUUUACUUAUGAAACUCUUGAGGAAAAUCCAAUUAUCCAUGUUUUUUUAUGUUGUUUCACGGACAUGUGCUUAUAGAGCGUUUUGAAUAAAUUUGCAAAGCCCUAGUUUUAGAAGAUGAAGAAAGUGCACGUCCUUGUACACAAUUAUCAAGAAGUAUCCAGUUGUUGAUUUUCAUGUUCCUAGAUCCUUGCAUGUACUUUAGGGCUGCAUUUCCCUUCCGAAGAAGUUCAUGCAAUAUUCCAGGAACUGAACCUCCUCUUUCAGCAGAAAACUGCAGAACUUAAGUCAUAAGUCAAUUUAGAACUGGGAAAAUAAAACCUUAGAAAUUAAAGGAUAAAGAAUAUCCAACUAUUUAUUUAGUCAUGGUAAAAUAUACAUCUUACAAAAUUUCAAAAAUUAAGAAAUUAUAACAUUUUGGUUAGAUUUGGAGCUGGGACAUUUACAUUGCGGCUUUCCAAGGUCGUAAAUAGAUUAAAAGGUUACUUUUGAGAUCCAUAUAUUAUUCCUCCAAUAAACUAUUUUUUAAAGUUCAUAAUUCAGAGGAGAUUGACCAUUGACUUUAUGGAAUUAUAAAAGAGAAGUUGAUCAUGAAAUUCUUGAAAUGAAAUACAUUCCCAUUAGUUGUGAGCAGAUUUCAUUCACAGUCACAGAAAGUUGGGCACAUUCUAAACCAUCUUCAUUGUCUGCAUAUAGAUAGUUACGCAUUAUGCACGUAUAUUGAAGUUACAAAUUAAAUUUAUAAUUCACGCAAAACCUUCAAAAAUCAAGAUGAAUAAACUAAAGAAGAAGGAACCUUAGUGUUAUAAAGACCAUACAGUACCUUGUGAAACGGCAACACAAAAAGACUGAAACUCCCUUAAAAAAAGUAAAAUGAAAAAAGUAUCAGCUUAAUCUAGAAUUCUAAACGAACAAUAAAAUAUAAAAUCUUACAUUUCUAGCAAGAAAAAAUGCACUAGGGUUUAUUUUAAAACAUAAACACUGACAUGAUUGUUUGGAAGAUGUUACGAAAAUAGCUUUAAUAUAUGUCCAAGAACUGUUUUCAACUUAUUUUCAUAAGUUCCUCUACACAGCUUAUUGUCAUAAGUUGUUUUCAGCUUAUUCUGUCAUCAAUUAUAGAAACAGCUUAUACAUAAGCUAUUGUAUGAUAAGUCUUACAUCUAUAACUAUCUAAUUAAGUUGUUUAUUCAAAUGUCUCCAAAGUACUAAAUCAAAAUAAGAAGUCUGAGCAAAUCAUUCUACAUUGUGAGAUAAGUUAUUUAUUAUUUAUUGUUUCUGAAUUAAGUAAUAAAAUAAAAAGGCAAAACAAUAGAAAGUUGAAUUACUUUUAUUGGGCGUAUCCAAUAAAUGCAAGGACGAAUGAUUAGAAGUAGAAGUUGCAAAGAAUAGUUCAUUUCACAUCAUUUAUUGCCAUUUUGUUUUUCUUUUCUUUGAGGAUAUGUUCAGUAUGAAUUCUUCUCUCAAAAGCCUCCAAUGUGCGUUUCCUUGAAUCUGCAGCCAUCAACACUUACCUUCAUACAAUAAUACAUGUAAAAGGGACACGGUCAAUAAGUGAUGAAAAAGACCAAAAUAUAAUAGCUCAUGAGAAAACUCGUAUUAUAUUUUGAAUUUGGAGGGAAAGAAAAUUAGGGUUUUGGUUCAAAAGUUUGGGGAUUUUGAUUUUAAGCUCAAGCAGUCAAAAGAAGAACAUAUAGUACCUUGGUCACAGCUGAAGCGGGAAAAAAACGCCUAAGAAAGAUUGAUGUUUAGUGCAGGAAAACGAAGUGAGGUGGCCGGAAAACAUUUUUACCACCGCUAAAUUUUAUGACAAAAAAAAUACAAUAUUUUGUGACAAAAAAAAAAGUACACGUCUACAUUUAUAUGAUUUUAUUUAUAGAUGUCUACAUAUAAAAUCAAAUAUUAUAAGUUUUUUUACAUGAUAAAAAUAUAAGGUAAACAACUGGAAACUUUUAAGUAAAGUAUGCAUUAAUAUAUAAUAUUCGUUAUCUGAAAAAUAUCAUAUUAAUUGGUAAAUAAAUAUACAUUUGAAUUAAUGUAUUAUAAUUAUCUUUAUUUUUAUCUAAAAUAUAUUUUAGAGAAAUAAUAAUAUUAAAUAUAUAUUUUAUUUUAACUAAUUUAUUUGUGUAUUAUAUUUUUUGACACUUUUAUAAUAAAAUAUUAUAUUUUAUAUAAAUUCUCUCUUACCUAAUUAAUUGAUCCAUGUUUGUAAAAAAAAAGUUUGAUUCGUGAAUAAUAAUACUGUAUCUAAUUAAUCAAAGAUAAAUAUUUUAUUUGAUGUAUAGUUUGUAAUUAAAUUUUAAUUAGUGUAUUUAAUUUAUUUUAUUAAUAAAAUAUUUAAGAGAUAUAUUAAUAAUCAAAUGUACGUUUUUAUCUUAACUAAUUGAUCGUUAAUCACCAUUUUUUAACUAAUUGAUAUGUAAUAAAUAAAACAUAUUUUUAUAAAAUAAACAAACUCUAAUAUUUCCUUGUGUUGUAGUAUUUAUUAUUGUUUUGUCAAAAAUUAUCUUCAACUAUUUAUUACAAAGAGAAAAAUAGAUAUAACAUAAUAAUACACAAUUAAAAGUAUCACAUGAAAAAAAUAACAAUUUUUAUUUUUAUAUUUUGCUAACAUCAAAACGACAAUUGAAAAAAAAAAGUAAUAUUAUCUACUCUCCGUUUUUUUUUAAUCGUCAUUUUUGUACAAAACUUAUUUCUAUUUGUUUAUCAUUUUUAAAGUUUAACAUUGAAUAUUAUUUUAUUAAUAAUAACUUUAACUAAUUAUUACAAAAAAAUGUAACUAGAUUAAGAUAUACUACAUAGUCCCAUGUCAUGUAUAAGUCUUCGUGAUUUUCUUCAUAUAUAAAUCUUCAUUUUUUUUUCUACAUAUAUUAAGAUAUUCUUUAUAAGUAGCUACUAAUUUAAUAUACCAAUUUUACGUGUAGAUAUUCCUAAGAUACACUUUAUACAUGAAUAUAUAUAAUUUGACUUCUAAUUUUUAAAAUAAAUUUCUAGUAUUAAUAAAAUGUUUUUUUUUUUAAAUACACCUAAUAACUUAAAAUGGUGUUAUAUUUAAGAACAAUUUUGUUUUCUUUAAAAAGUCCUUACAAUUAAGGACAAAGAUAAUAAUAAAUAGAUACUCCUUCCUAAAAAAUAUAAACAAAAGCAAUUCAAAAUAUGUAAUUGAUUUGGAUCAUAUAAAGGAGGGUCUGAGUUCAAAUAAGUGCAUAACAUUUUUUGGAUCAAUUUUGCUUUUCGCUUAAUAACACAUUAUAUAGUAUAAACAUUGAAUAUAUUCAAUCAAAUAACAUUUUUUGGAUCAAUUUUGCUUUUCGCUUAAUAACACAUUAUAUAGUAUAAACAUUGAAUAUAUUCAAUCAAAUAACAUUUUUUGGAUCAAUUUUGCUUUUCGCUUAAUAACACAUUAUAUAGUAUAAACAUUGAAUAUAUUCAAUCAAAUAACAUUUUUUGGAUCAAUUUUGCUUUUCGCUUAAUAACACAUUAUAUAGUAUAAACAUUGAAUAUAUUCAAUCAAAUAACAUUUUUUGGAUCAAUUUUGCUUUUCGCUUAAUAACACAUUAUAUAGUAUAAACAUUGAAUAUAUUCAAUCAAAUAACAUUUUUUGGAUCAAUUUUGCUUUUCGCUUAAUAACACAUUAUAUAGUAUAAACAUUGAAUAUAUUCAAUCAAAGAGUUAUCGGAUAGAUCAGUCACAAUCUUAAUCGAUGAGUUUUCAAUCAACUGCUUCACUAGAUAGAAUGCAAUGUCUCAAUAUGGAGAAGUCAAACCCACAUUCAUCAACCAUCGCUGUCAUCUUCACAACUCGCAUAUAAACCCCAUAUACUCCUCCAUUAACAAAACUACUCUAUGCUGAGGGGCCAAGAAAUGUAUUUAAAAUAAUAAAAACGGGACCAAUAAAUAGACAAGAGACCGUUGACCAACAUUCAUAUAGUUAAUCUUUGAACACAAAAAACGGAAUAAAAUAUGUGAGCCCAAAUAACAAUAAUCGAUAUAUUGUCAUAGUGAAAGUGAUGCCAAAUAAAUCCAAAAAAAAUUGAUACCAAAAUAUGCAUGUUGACCUUCCUUCUGAAUUCACCAAUUGAACUAAAUAUCUAAUUCUGUGAAGCUUAUACCUUCAGCCACCUCCAGAUUUGAGUGUAUUGCUCAACCUACAUGACGAGUUCACAUAUUAACAUUGCCCAAAAGAACAUAGCUCCAGUGAGCAACAAAAAGGAAGUGCAAUGUUAUAUCAAACUUGCAGCUCAAAACAGUGUAACUCUAAACAUCUCAAAAAGUUAUAUCAACAUUAGCAAAUAUCAAACUAGAAAUAGUAACAAUAAAGAUGCAUUAUAACCGCACAACGUAAAAUUACAGUUACAGUCCAUAGGCAUCUUUUCUAGACCAAGGUAUACAUACUCGCUUUUAACAUUUCAAAAGCCCAUUGCCAAGUUAAUCACAUUCUAUUAGAUAGGGUUUCUAUCCGCAAGCAUUAACUAUACUAUAUUUGCAUACACUGAUAUAUACUAUUGAACUCAGUAACCUAACAUGGAUGAUGAUUGGUAUGAGUUUUAUAACAUUGGGAAAACAAAUCCUCGUAACACAAAAAAUGAAAAAGAACAAAUUAACAAGGCAGCAAAACUAUCUACUAAGAUAUUUGAUAUCGUAACUCCCUUGAAAUAGCCUUCAAAUUUAAUAGACUUACCAAUCGAGGCCCUCAAAAAGUCCUUCGCCUUUAAUAGCAGAAGUUUUAAAAAUAGACCAUUGGCGAUUUUUAAUCUUGUGCAACUCAAGAGCCUCCGUCACUGCAGCAUCAUCAAGGGCACCAGGAAGGUCCUGCAUAAUGAAAAGACACACAUGAGAUAAAUUAAUAAAUAAUUUUUUUAGUUCUACACUAUAUUUGACAUAUCAUCUAUGUACAUGUGCAUGUAGUAAUUAGUUAAGUACAAAAUGAAGAUAUCUUAAGAAUUAUGUCAGUUAGCAAAGAUUUCUCCCUAUAAUAUCAGCUUCAUAACUCUUAUAUAUACAGUGCUUACUUCUAAUCUCCCUUGUGAAAAUAUGCAAAUUCAACAAAUAUGAAUCAAACUCUGACCUGUUUGUUUGCAAAAAUGAGAACUACUGCACCUUUUAAUUCUUCUUCCUAACAAAAAGAUUCAUAGAAAAUAAUUGGCAUCAAUUUUUUGUUGCAAAACUGAAAUCAGAAUCACGAGACAACAUAACCAUAGUCAAAGGAGAAUAGGAAACAGAUAAAAUACACACACCCACAUAAAUAUAUAUAUACUAAAAAAUUCAUUAAAUUAUAAUUAAAUAAAUGAAAUUUGAAAAUAUUUGAAUCAAACUUUUGAAUCAUGAAAACACCUCAAAACAAAAUUGCAAGAAUUAUGCUAACAACACACUCUCUAGCACGCACUUUUCAACACGGUCUAUUCAAUUGGUAAAAAUUCAUACGGAUCCCACCAAAUCUAUAUAGGACCCACAAAUUUGGUGGGACAUUGGGACCAAAAUAAAUUUAGACUAAUAGAAGAAAGUGUGUUGGAAUAUGUGUUGAAGAGUGUGUUGCAAUAGCUAAGGAUUUGUAUUGUUUGAGAAAACACUUUGUUUUAUUGAUAAUUACAAAAACGUCACCCUAGUUUUAAUUUAUUUCCUGUUAUCAAGAAACGCAUGAAAUGAUGAAACUGCAAAAAAUUUAGUCACCCUUUUUCUAAACAAACCCUUGAAAACAGUAAACAGACUUAAAACAGAGUAGCAUUUUUAUAAUUAGCAGAGAAAAUAAGGAAUAAAAAAGGAUUUUUCAUAUAAAACAGACCCCUAAACCUUGAACAACUACAAUAAAAAAGGCCUAUUCCAACUAGGAUUAAUCAAACACCACAACUGAGUUCAGUCAAAAACUAGUCUAUCAGAGAGGCCGCUUAGAUCUAAAUCCUUUUUGAUUAUUUCAACAAUAAGUUUUCUUGCACUUCCUCUCCCUCUCCCUCUUUCCUUUGAUUAUCAAGCGAUCUUCCAUUUGAUAAGCUUUUCUAAAUGGUCUUCUCCUCACAUAUUCAAACCAUCUUUGGAUGUAGUUCUACCAUACCAUCUUCACUCAUAGAAGCUUCACAAGAGUUUUAAGAGUAACAAACUGAAUACUAGUACCAAAGUUCUAAAUGAAGUGUGUGUGUGUAUCAGGAACAUAUACCUCCAGAAUUGCAUGGAACUCCUCCCUAGCUAUCACAAGCCUAUCAGUGUCACUUGAAUCCACAACAUAGAUAAUUGCUUGAGUAUUUGGAAAGUAACACCUCCAAUAUGGCCUAACAAAAAAAUCAUAGCCAGUAAAAGAUCAGAGAAAUUGAUGGAGACUACAUAUUUAUUAGGGAUAAAUUUAUUUUCCAAUCUUGCAGUUUGGUCCACUUGGUUUCCAUGUGCCGGUGAUUUGUUCUUUUAAUCAUGUCGCCACUAUAUAAUUUUUUUGACCAUUUAUAAGGGAAAUGGCAUGUGAGGACUGAACAAUAUUGUCAAAUAGCGGCUAUAGCAGUGUUGUAACACUAGUGUAACGGAAUUUUAACAAACCACUAUUUUUUGCGGUUCGCGAUCUACAACAUUGGGACUGAAAAGUAAUUUAUGCACAAGAUGAAAUCUUUUCAAGGUAAUGAAAUUUUUUAAAGUGACAUUAUUGGGAAAAACCCAAGUCCCACAGUUAUAAGUGAUAGGGAUCUAUAAUAGUUUAAAAAGAGUGGCACCCUCACCUUAUAAGUCGGUUUUGUGAGGAUAAGUUAAGCCCGAUAUAAAAAUCAAAGAUGAUAUCAGAGUCAACCAAGCUGGCGUGAGGGGGUGUAUUAGGAAAAAACCAAGUCCCACAUUGAUAAGUGAUAGGGCUCCAUAAUAAUUUAUAAAGAAUGACACUCUUCACCUUACGAGCCAAUUUUGUGAGGAUGAGUUAGGCCUAAUGUAAAAACUAAAAACCUAAGAGACAUUUUUGUGCCGCACAUGAUUAUCACAUGCAUUUUUGUUUAAAGGAAUCAUGAAAAAAUCAAAUCUCAGGGUGACAAAAAUGUAUGUGAUAAAAUACCAGCUUCCUAGCAGAUAAAUAAUUGGCAUAUUGAAGCUUCUCAUUAUAUUUGGAUGGUUCUCAUAACCUACCAUAUCACGUGAUAUUAUUAUUACACAUUGUUUAGCUUGAAUUACUUUAUAUUCUUUUAGAUUUUAGACAUUUAUAUUAUUAGAAACCUACACAUCCACACACAUAAUAAUUAACUGCAUAAGGAUUGGUAUCUUCUUACUAGAAAUACACAUAUCUAAGACUUUAGAGCAGGUUCAUAUACAGGUAAACAGAAAUAUGGAAGAGUUAAAAGUAUUAAAAAAAAAAAUGGAACAUCCUAAUACCACAGAGGAGAAUAAAUAUACAAAUUGGUGUGCACUGUAACACAACAAAAGUCACCCGCUAUUAUCUGUUAAAGUAAAUUUUUAUAAAAUUACACAUUUUCCAUCAGUCAAAAGAAGCAAGAAUGAAACCAAAAGGCUUACCUGAUACUUGUUUGCCCACCUGUAUAAUAAACAAAAGAUGAAUAUUAGAAAUUGAAAUAAGCUAAACUAUGUUAUAAGUCAUAUUAUAUCAUAUUAAGUCUCGUGCAACUAUAAGUUCACAUGGCUGUUAGUGACAGACUAUAUUUAAGGUUUGAUGUGUGUUUAUUUUCUUUCAUGCAGUACAAAGGAAAUAGCCUGAAACAAGAAGAAAUAUAAUGUUAUUGUCAAAGGUUUCAGUAUAUUUUCAUCUUCCCUUGCUUUAUAUCAAAAUUCAAAACUACAUAUAGACAACAGAAGAGGACAAAAUUAUCUGAACUCACUUUGAUAUGUGUUACAUUUAUCACUACUGUACCCCAAAAAUAAAACUAGCAGAAUUCAAUUUUAAAACAAGGGCCCAUGUAUGCUUGCUUGUAUUUAACACGAGACAGAAAUGUCAUGACUGUCGACACAUAGUCCUCUAGGUUGGAACAGAGUAAGUCAAGCCAGGUGCACAAGUUGAGUCAACUUAUUGAGUACAUGAUUUUAGUGCAGAAAAACAAUGGUUGUUGUUGUAUAGGAUUUGAUGCAAAAUUUGGAAAGAUAACAUGGUCAUCUCAAUGAGGAAAUAUAAUAUUAAUAUGGUCGGUCAUCUUUAGAACUCUGAAGUAACUAACAAACAAAAAAAUGUUGAACCAAGCUGUUUAAAGUCAUUACCUAAAUCCCAGACCUGAAAUUUAAUGUUGUUAUACUGCACAGUUUCAACAUUGAACCCGAUCGCUGGAUUAAAUAAUCAAAUAAACCAGUCAGCCACUGUGCAAAAAGAAAAUUGGAACUGCAAAUAUAUCAUUCAUCCAUGCAUGUAUUCAAAACACUUACAAGCAGCAUGUAUGCAUGCAAACCGGAGGAGCUAAAGCAUCAUAAAUGUUGUCUACGUUAUUAUAUUCCAAAAGGAAAAUGUAAUACUACAAUACAUAGUUACAUACAGUUGAAUAAAGGAAAUGUUUUGUACAAAAAGUUUUUCAUAAAAACUGUAGCAAUGAGUAUGAUUGGUUGAAUGCAUGUAAGUGUAAGUAAGGUGUGUAGCUCUUCCAAAACAAGUUUUUCUUUGACCUCACGAAACCAGUAUUGUUAUGCGUUAUUUCAUUUUGUGUCCAACUCUACAAAUUUUUUUUAGAAACCAAAUAACAUCGCUAUCAAGUUGAAUUGAAAAUCCAAACUAGUUAAUAAAAUUUAGCCAGAGGGUAAAGCAACUAGUUAAUAAAAUUCAAAACCAAUAGGGUUCANNNNNNNNNNNNNNNNNNNNNNNNNNNNNNNNNNNNNNNNNNNNNNNNNNNNNNNNNNNNNNNNNNNNNNNNNNNNNNNNNNNNNNNNNNNNNNNNNNNNNNNNNNNNNNNNNNNNNNNNNNNNNNNNNNNNNNNNNNNNNNNNNNNNNNNNNNNNNNNNNNNNNNNNNNNNNNNNNNNNNNNNNNNNNNNNNNNNNNNNNNNNNNNNNNNNNNNNNNNNNNNNNNNNNNNNNNNNNNNNNNNNNNNNNNNNNNNNNNNNNNNNNNNNNNNNNNNNNNNNNNNNNNNNNNNNNNNNNNNNNNNNNNNNNNNNNNNNNNNNNNNNNNNNNNNNNNNNNNNNNNNNNNNNNNNNNNNNNNNNNNNNNNNNNNNNNNNNNNNNNNNNNNNNNNNNNNNNNNNNNNNNNNNNNNNNNNNNNNNNNNNNNNNNNNNNNNNNNNNNNNNNNNNNNNNNNNNNNNNNNNNNNNNNNNNNNNNNNNNNNNNNNNNNNNNNNNNNNNNNNNNNNNNNNNNNNNNNNNNNNNNNNNNNNNNNNNNNNNNNNNNNNNNNNNNNNNNNNNNNNNNNNNNNNNNNNNNNNNNNNNNNNNNNNNNNNNNNNNNNNNNNNNNNNNNNNNNNNNNNNNNNNNNNNNNNNNNNNNNNNNNNNNNNNNNNNNNNNNNNNNNNNNNNNNNNNNNNNNNNNNNNNNNNNNNNNNNNNNNNNNNNNNNNNNNNNNNNNNNNNNNNNNNNNNNNNNNNNNNNNNNNNNNNNNNNNNNNNNNNNNNNNNNNNNNUUCAGCAGAGAAACGAACUAAAAAAUAAAAGAAAAUGCAAAACGAGAUCGAGUACCAACUUGGAAUGGUGGAGACAACUUCUCCCAUCUGAAGCCGAUCUGAAAACAAGUCGACAAAAUUAGUAUAAAAAAUAGCGAAUUGGAUUCUGUGAGAUGCAGAAAGGUAAGAAGCAUACAGAGAAUAGUGGUUUUUCCGGCAUUGUCGAGACCGAGAACGAGAAUUCGAGCUUCCUUGUUACCGAAAAAUGAAAACAAUCUGGUAAACACUAAUCCCAUCUUCCGAUUCGGCAGAGGGACGGACACAGUACAGUUACGGUUAGAACAUUAAUCAAUCAGCUAAAACUGAUUCUUCUUACUGAGAAUUCGUUUGUUCGGACGGAGAAAAAAUUGAAAUCGGAUCAGAUCUCAAAGCAAACACUCUGAAUCUGCAUGCCAGUGUGAAUCUGAUCUGAAGAAAUUGAAAAUCGGAGAAGCAAGGGUUACGUUUGGAAAGGUUUUGAGAUAGAAGAAUGGAAUCGAAAAAUGAUGAAUAUAUGAGGAUCGAGUGAAGAUUUUGAUUCCCUCGCCCUCCACCUUUCGGUUAUGGGAUCUGGUGUAGCUAUUGUAUUACUUCUUUUCGCGCAUUUAGACCAGCACCACCAAAUUUGGACCUGGGCUUUUCCGUAUUAUAAGAUCGGGCCAGCCCAUACACUCGAGAAAAAGGUUGUUUCUUCCUCUCCUAAUAUACUCAACAUUUGGGGGAGAGAAGGGAAAAAAAGUCUACUACAUACCCUACAUUUAUGCCCCGUACCCCCAAACCCCAUGAAAUUCUAUGAAAAAAGUCCUUCAACAAAACAAACAAAAAAUAUUCGGAAAUUUCACAGUUUGAAAAUUUCAUAAAACUUGAAUUAUUAAUUUUUCACAAUUUGAAAAUUUCAAAACAUGAAUAUGUUCCAAAUCUAAAAUAUAUUUUAAAUUGCAACAAAAUAUAAUAAAAAAUGUGAGAAAUCAUUUCAUCCGAAAUUUUUCUCUGAUAAGAUGAGGAAUCAAAUUAUAUCAAUAUAAUAUUAUAUCAAUGUUAAAUUGUUUAAUAAUAUUUUAACCGAUACAAAUUUUACAAAAUUCACUUUUAAAUUGAAAAUUUAUAUAUAUCAUUCAUGUAAAAUUUUGCACAAAUUUAAAAUCAUUUGAUUGAUGAGUGAGACUUAUAUCGAUUAACGACAUUUACUAAAAAUAUAUAAGACGAUAAUUUUAAUGUAUGUCAAUAACAUUUCAAAUGAUUUUAAAAUUUUGUAAAAUUUUACAUAAAUAUGAUCUAUAUGAUAUAAAAUUUUAAUCCAAUAAUAAAUUUUGUAAAAUUUGUAUCAAUUAAAAUAUUAUUAAACUAUAAUAUUUCUUUGUAAUUUGAUUUCUCCUUUAUUUCAAAAGGAUGCAUAGAAAGGUGAUAAUGUUCUAACAAUUUUGAUAUAUAAUUUUUGAAAUUUCAAAUAUUUUAGAUUAUAAUUUUUGUUUUGGAUAUUUUUCACUUUUUAUUAUGACAAUUUUAGUGUGCAAAGAAAUAUCCCUAAAUUGAGAUUUUUCUUUUGGGGGAAAAAAGGUGGGAGACGAAAUUGAAAUUUAGGAGAAUUGUGGAUAUGAGGACUAGCUGUGUGGGAGUAUGUAGUGUAUUUUUCAACGUUCAAUAGCAAAUGUUACAUAAGCCUCCCUCUUUUUAAAUUUCUACCUACCAUUUUAAAAAAUACUCCUUCUUGUUGCUCUGAAAUUCAAAAAAGCAAGAAAUAUAUUCAAAGAGUGAUGACAGAAGUUGACCCUUAAUCAUUUGCAACAAUGAUUCUUAAUCACGAUUAAGAUAAGUCUUUGUUUGGGAGUUACGAAGGAAAAGAGACGAAAACUUUAGAUGCUGAGAGGAAUGAAAAAAAUAAGAUCUUUUAUUUUUCUUGGAGAGUACUUUUAAAGAAAAUGAGAUGAAAAUAUAAUUAAUAUUAUUCAAUGCAUUUGUUUAGUUCUCCUGUAUUGGAGGAUACACUUUUAAUUAGUUAUAAACUACAUUGGGAAGGAGACAUGCUUCCAUAGCGGUACAUACGCAAACAUGGAUUCGUUGAAUAUUUACACAUUUAUUAAAAAGAAAUUGAAAUGUGUAUAUUAUUUCUUUUGUAUGCAAAAAAUACAACCAAGUUGGACCUCGAUUCACUAAUUCCGUAUCCAACUAUUAUAUGUAAAUUUGAAUUAUUUAGUGUUCAUAUGUUAUUUUGCUUGUUAAAGAAAUUCCGAUAUUAGUGCAGAGGCCAACAAAUUUUUGCAUCAUUAACAAUGUCACACAUGCAUUCGCUAUGGACAGCUACAUCAGCAUUGUAUUAUGUGAAAACAUAGGAGAAUUUUACUGUAUGCAUCCCUUCAACUUCCGAUGACGAUAAUAAUAAAGGAAAAUAAAAUUAAAAAAAUGAAAGUAAAAAUAAUUAUCAAACUCUGCAUGCUAAACUCUCUCUGAUGACCAUGGUAUGCACCUUAUUAUUAUUAAUAAGAGUUAACAUCCACUUCACCUGGCUUCGAGUGCACCCGGCAGAUAUUGCCUCCAGCUCCACACAUAAUUUAUCCCAAUAAAAAUUAACUUACAUACAAGUAAAUCUUGAUUUCGUUUAUUAUACUAAAACUAAAACUACAAUUGUAAACUGUUCCUAAUAACAAAAAUGACAAGAAAAUAACUGCCACACAGAGCUAGAUGCUUCUUUUUAUAUAGCAGACUGGAAUAUCAUUUCAGCUAGCUCCUGUAAAACAUAAAAUAGAUAUAUAUAUUUAUUAGUGUCUAUUUAAGCUCUAUUUUUCAAACUGAAUAAUUAAUCAUACACAUAAGUCUAUGUUUGGUUACACGGAGGAAUAGACAAAGCCGUAGUGACUCAUCGUGAUUUUGUCAAAUGACCACGAAAUCAAACGUGCACUAAAUCUGUUCCGUGUGAGUUGGGGAAGCGAAAAUCUGUUCAUCUAUUAUACAUUACAACUUACAAGGUAAUGAAAGAUACCCCUUAUUGUUACAGAAAAUUUAGUUAUUAUAGUUACCUGUUUGGCAGAAGCGACCUUUGGUUCUCCCCAUUCCUUAGCCUUCUUCUCGAGCAAAUCAAAGUCGGCUUUUCCAGCCUAUGGCAACAACAUAUGUUUCAAUAAAAUUAACCAACAAAAGAAUUAAAUAUUAGAUGAGGAGAAGAAAAAGUUGGGAGAAUGUUACCUCUAUUUGAGCUCCGAUUUCUGUGUCAAAACUCUGAUAUCGCUUGCGGACAAGUUCGGCAAGAGAACCAUCCUCAAUUAGCUUGGCAGCAGUCCUGAGUCCUCGAGCCAUUGUAUCCAUUCCAACAAUAUGGGCUAUGAACAGGUCUUCAACGUCUGUGCUCUCUCUCCGCCUAAAAUAUCGCUUAGUAAAGAAAUCGCAACAAGGAAAAAGGGAUAUUAGUACAAAAAAGAUAAUAAAGGACUCACAAUUUGGCAUCAAAGUUGAAUCCACCAGGUGCAAUUCCAUCCUGGAAAAAGACAAGAAUAACCCAGUCAGAUGAGAUUGUGUUUCUAAGGUGAGGAGGAGUGUUGCACUUCAGAACACUGGUUAAGAACAAGCAAUUUCAUACGUUUCUGAUAACGCUGAGCAUAAUCAUUGUUGCCUCUUGGAUAUCUACGAGAAACUGAUCUGUGUCCCAACCUACAAUAAUGAUAACAAUUUCUAUUACAACUUCCAAUCUUGUGACAAGUUAACACAGAGUCUUCCUUCCAACUUCCAUGUUAGAAGUUACAUUAUUAAGUAAUAGAGAAUUUGCACAUACCAACUUGAGGAUCGCCGGUAUUUGCAUCAAUAUUACCCAACAGUCCAUUAAUCCUUGCAGUUUCAAGCUCGUGAUGACAACUAUGACAGGCAUUAAAAAGAACAAGAAAACAUGUCCAGUUUCAGUAAUGAACGUAAAAAAUAAAAUAUAAAGUAUGAUGAACACAAUAUACAAUUAAAGAUUCACCUGUGACCCGAUAGGGUGGCAUGGUUGCACUCAAUGUUCAGUUUGAAUUCCCCUACAGAAGGAACAAAAAUGAGGAAGGGAGAAAUUUGUGCAAGUGAAAUAACACAACUUUUAAUGAAGAGAAACCUUUCAAGUCUAUGCAAGCAGUGAAGAGACUCAUUGUGCUUUUGUUUUGUACAAUUUUGGUGAAAUUCGUUCACAUUAGGGAUAACUUGGCUAUUAAAUUCAAGAGGCUAAGAAAUUUUCUAACUCGAGAAGAGGGGGGAAAUACAGUUUCAUAGAGGACAAACCAGUAUACAGGACCUUGAUUAGUCUUUAGAUUAUAGGGCAAAGUAAAUUAUUGCUUUAGAAAAAGAUAGAGAACAAUUAGAAAGUUAUAUACAGUUCAAAAUCUUCAUGGUGUACUAUUUAAGAACAUAAAAUUUUCAUUAUAGAAAGACAUCACACCCACUUUUUGGUUCUUGGGGUGACAUUUGAAUGAUGAAUACAAGCAAAUAUUACCUUCAAGUCCAUAUUUUCGCAAGAAAUUAGCUGUAGUUGCAGCAUCCCAAUCAUAUCUGGAAGAAUACAAGUUAGUAAUGUACAUAAUAGGCAAUGUAAAAUUAUUGAUUGAAUAGGUAAGAAGCAUACUGGUGUUUUGUAGGUUCUUGUGGCUUUGGUUCGAUUAAAAGUGUCCCUAAAAACAUAGCAAAAGAAAAACAUGAGAAAAUAUUCAUUUAUUAUGGAAAAAAAUUAUGGUGUGUGUGGUCCGUAUAGACAUAAAAUUAUAGGUUUGAUCUAUUCAUAUGUUCAUAAUUUAGCGCUGCACAUUGAUCAAGCUAGUUGGUAUUCCGAGGAAGAUUACCAUUGAAUCCGAUCUUCUUUUUGUGUGCAACAGCAGCUUCAAAAAAUCUAGCCUGUAACCAGGAAAAAAGCAGCAUUGUUUCAAGAAAGAUGCAACACGCUGCAAAUUAAAAGACAAAACUACAGAAAUUUUUGGAAUAGGCAAUUAAUUACUGAAAGCUAGUGUGCCUUGCUCUUUUUAAAUGUAAAUCACUAUGUAAGGGGAAAAAUAUUCAAGAUGUUGACCAUCUAAUAAUUUAGAAAAUUUCCCUUGGGCUUCCUGCUCAGCUUUUGAUUACAUUUUUUUAGCAUUAACAUUGAAACUUGGUUAUUACUGUUGUUGAAGUGUGCAAAUUGAUACUGUUAUUAUUUCUUAAUUUUCAAGGAUAUUUCUUAUACACUGUUUAUCAACACAAGAGGCAAAAAGAGAGCACAAGCAGAUAACUACAUCAAGGAUAGAAUUAUUCACGCACCAAAUGAUUAAGCUCUCUUUCCAUAUCUGUGUUCAAAAGAGAUUGGUAACCCUCGCGACCGCCCCAAAACACGUAAUUUUCUCCCCCCAAAUAAUGUGUCACCUGCAAUACAUUUUUAUGACCAUAAUGAACAAUGGUUCUAAAAAUACAAUUGACCUUGUUACUACUACUGUAAUAUAUGUACAGACGUACCUCCAUGGCUUUCUUUACUUGAGCGGCAGCAUAUGCAUACACCUCUAGCUCAGAGCUGUAAAGCAGUUCAUUUUGUGAGUCAUGAACCCACUAGGCAAAAGGACUGUAUAAGCUAGGAGAUAAUGGUGUAUAUGUUACCUAGUAGCGGCACCAUGCAUAUAACGAGGAUGCAUGAACAACUGAGCUGUUCCCCACAAAACGCUCUUCUUAUUCUGUAUGGUAAAUUUACAAAAUUAUUACAUGAAUUACGGGUAGUUUGACUGAGCCAAAAUAAAAGAGUUUACAUCUGAUUGCGUUAAGUUAUAUCUUUUAUAACAAAGCACUCAACACAAUGCCACACUAUAUAUAAACCCCUAUUUGAUUUUAUUUUUUUUUCAUUCCAUAUUCCAUUGUAUUAUAACACAUUGGAAAGGAGAAUAAAAAAAACCAGUGUUAUCAACAUUUCAAAACCACAAUUCACAAAACAAAAUCUCAUAUUUUUUCAUUUUCCAUAUUCCCAAACAUUUCAUAUAAUUUAUUUGAAGUGAAGAAGCAUAAUUACAGAACUCUGUACUGAUUUUAAAAGCAGAGAGGCUUAUUUUCCUACUUUAAGCUGAUUAUCUGAAAACUAUUAUAUUUUAAAAGAUCCAUUCAUGUCAAAUUACCUGACUCUGAAGCUCUUGAGCAAGGGCCACCACUUCAUCCAAGUUUGCAUUUGAUUCCUAAGACACAGGCAACAAGUGCAAUACAAUAGCUCAGAAAGAGUUAAAACCUUAAUAAACGUAGCAGCAGAUCAUUAAUCAAGAAAGCAAAUUCAAUCAACUAUGUCCUUGACCGUAGUUUAAUAUUCCAGAUAUAAAAAAUAAGUAAGCAUAUGCACUGCCUCUAAACUCUGAUCCUCUUUAAGAAUUGCAAUUAAGUAAAGCUGAGAAAUUUUAAAGAUUGACACACCUCAAGAGUCUUCCCAUCAGGAGCUAUAUCCCUAUCGUGGAAGCACCAAAAGUCGACACCAAGUUUGUUUAUGAACUCGAAAUUUGCUCUCACUGCAUUAUUUAUGAGAAAUUUAUAUUGCAUCACAUAAAAAUCUCUGAAUUUGAGGUACAUCAAAUUGGAGAGUGAAGAAUUAGCAUACUUCUUCUUUUAGCCAUGCUUAAUGAAUUGGUACCAUCUUCCCAUGGCCAAUGUUUGGUAGGUGCACCGAAUGGAUCACCACCUGUUCCACGGAAUGUAUGCCAAAAUGCAACACUAAAUCUGAACCAAUCCUGCAGUUACAUAAGAGUAAAUUCAAGUCGAAAUCCAAGUGUGGGUGGAACAAAAAAUGUCUGCAUAGAAUAUAAAUGAAAACCAACCUUCAUCUUCUUCCCAAUAAUUUCCUCCUCUGCAUUGUACCAUUUAAAUGAAAGUGGAUUCUUACUGGAUGGCCCCUGAAAAUAAAAUAAAUGCACUAAUAAAUGGAUGUACGGCACAUUCUACAGAAUGCAAAUGAAAAUAAGAAGAGUUUGGAACUAAUUAAGGUUUCUCAAACAAUGUUAUUAUGUUGUCAAGAACAAAAAAAAAAAUGAAAACUAAUUCAGUUGAGGAGGAUCUACCUCUUUCUCCUCAAGUGGAGUAAAAUUAAUGUAUAAUCAAUAUGAACACCAAAACCCUCCCCUACUCAUUUUUAUUAAAAAUAUUGCAUUUCCAAAACAUUGGAGAAGUUAGGAGGAUCCCAAAUAAUCAAAUAAACCUUCAUUAUACUCCCUUUUACUUUAUAUAUUCUUUUAUACCUUAAUUCCUUUCUUCACUCCCAAACACAGCCUCAAAUGACAAUAUGAAACGUUGCAAGAUGUAUGCAUUUAAUUAAAUUCAGUUUAGCGCAAAAAUUAUAUCAAAAUAAUCCUAAUUCAUAUUAUUAUGUAAAACAAUAAUAGAUCAAGAAAAAAAUAAAGUGUGAUAACCAAGUGUAGCCACCUCAUAUUUAAUUUUGGAAAUGCCAGGAAAAAACUCCCCUUCCCACUCAUCUGAAUCGCCACUUUUACCAACAUUCGUGGCAGGGCAAGUCUGAGGUGCACCAAUCUAUUAUCCAUCAAACAAAAACAAACCUUAUUAGCAUAUAAUACUCAAAAAUUGAACACACACAAAAAUAUAUAUAUAGGGAAAAAAUGUAUCAGUACCACUGCAUAACACAAGACAUUCAAACAAAGAAGAAGCAGUAAGACUUUCCCAGAUUUCAUUAUCAUGGAUUAACGUAAUUCCUGCACAAUAGAGAGAGUAAGAAAAUCAAAUCGUCAAUUAACACUUCAACAGCGCAUCACAAUUGAAGACAUAAAAGAAUAUGAUCGUCGUUGUAAUAACUAUAUGUAUGAGAAAUUUAGCUUAAUAAAUAACAUAUGAAUAUGUAUAAGAGUGAGAAAUUGAGUUCAGCGGAGAAAAAGGGUAAAAACAUGAAGCUAAAAAAUAGUAAUACGAAAUGAGGAUAAAAAGCGGUGAAGAGUGUAACCGUAAGAGAUUGAAACUUGUUCAGCGAUAGAGAUGUAACAAUUACCGAGCAGGAAUGGAUCGAUUUAUAAAAAUUAUUGUGAAAUAUUGAUUCCUAAUUUUCUUCUUCAAUUCGGUUUGUUGUGGUGUUAUUAUGGGGAAAACCUCGAAUAAUUGGAAUUGUGAAUUUGAGUAAUUGAUAGUAAUAUAUAUAGCUACAGAUUAAGUAGUGUUAUUAAUAUUAUUGGAUAAGAACGAUAUCAAUUAGCAAGUGCUAUAUCACGUGUUCCGCUGUCAGACUGGAUAUAUAUUCGGAAGAUUAUACACAACAUUUAUUUAACGUGUGCUAUUUUCAAAUUUUUCCAAAAAAGAAGAUCACUUGAAAUUUUAUAAUUAUUGUUAAUACUUUUUAGUAUUGUAAAUUAAUAACUCUUUUCAUUUUUAGUGAUCUAACUGUAAUUUGAUGAAUGCUGAUUCAACUAAGAGAAAAUGAUGGAUAACCAUGUAAAUAAAAAUUUAAUUUAUGAAUUAUUAAAUGAUUGGAUAUUUGGCCGAGUAUUCAACAAAACACCGUGUAUAAAAGUAUUCACCAUUUGUAGUCUUUUAUAUUAUACACAAUUUAUUUUUUCGAUUGUAAAUAUCAUUUAUUUAUAAUUUUUUAAUUUUAAUAUCUAAUAAAUAGUCAAUUAUUUCAAUCCAACAUCUUAAAAAAAUUAUUUCUUCCAUGUUAAUAUAACUAAUUUGUUUAUUAAAAAAAUUAUCUCAAAAUAAUUGAUUUAUUUAAUUUUUAGUAGAGUUCUCUCUAAUUAUACAUUUGAAUUAAUACUACUUACAUUAUUUUUAAUAUAAUAUUUUUUAUUAAAUAAGUUUAUCAAUUAUUUACUUUACUUUUUAUCAAAAAUAAUUUGUUUAUUAAAUUAUAAUUAUCUCAGUUUUAUUUUUAUUUUUUUUUAUUUUAAUUAAUUGUGGGUCUCACACUUACACGUCAUAUAAGAGCAUCUCCAACGGGAGUGAAAAUGAGUUCGUCCACCAGCGUGGAAUUACUUAACUCCAGUUUUUUGUGGGUUGGUGUCAUCACAGUUCUGUCAGGAAGAAACGGUGCUUCAUAGUGGUUACCUUUUUUUUUUUUCUCUAUCUACUUUCACAAUUUAAUAAUAAUAUAACUAUAACCGCUACCUUUUAUAAAUUUAUUAAUAAUAAUAAAUUUAUUAUUUUUUAUUAAUUUAUAGUCGUAAACUUCUUUUUAAUUUAUUAAAUAAUAAUAAUUUUGUAACCAUUACCUUUUUUUUCUAUCUACUUUUACAAUUUAAUAAUAAUAUAAUUAUAACCGCUACCUUGUAUUAAUUUAUUAAUAAUAAUAAAUUUAACAUUUUUUAUUAAUUUAUAGUCGUUAACUUUUUUUUUAAUUUAUUAAAUAAUAAUAAUUUUGUAACCAUUAGCUUUUUUUAGUUAAUAUACUACCGUUAGCCUUUUUUUUCUUCUUUAAUUACGAUUGUUAGCUCAUUAAUAGAAACAAUUUGUUACUCAUACUUUUUCUUCACAAUUUUUGUUAUAGAAGUUUAUUAAAGUUUUUAUUAACGUACUUUUUUAUUUAUUUUUCCAUUUAAAUUAAUAUUUUAAGUUAUAAUAAAAUUAAAUAUUAAUGUAUAAAUUAAAGUAAUGGAAUAUAAUAUGAUUUUUUAAAAGUUAAACCUUAAAAAAUGAAUGAGUUGAUUUAAGGUGAUGUGGCAUAGUAGAACUUGAAUCAUGUUGAGUUCAUAGUUGGAAUAGAAAAUGAGUGAAUUGCUUCAAGAUGAUCUGGCACAGUGGACCCCAUAUUGAGUUCGCCGUUGGAGAUGCUCUCCAACCGUAGCCAAAUGAGUUCGUCCGCCGACGUGUAAUCACUUAACUUCCAGUUUUUUGUGAAUUCACUGUUGGAGUUGUGCCAAGGUGUAAUCACUGUAAUCACGGUACUGUCAGGAAGGAACGGUGUUUCAUAGCAGUUACUUUUUUUUUUUUUCUAUCUACUUUCACAAUUUAAUAAUAAUAUAAUUAUAAUUAAUUUAUUAAUAAUAAUAAAUUUAUCUUUUUUUAUUAAUUUAUAGCCGUUAACUUUUUUUUUAAUUUAUUAAUAAUAAUAAAUUUAUCUUUUUUUAUUAAUUUAUAGCCGUUAACUUUUUUUUUAAUUUAUUAAUAAUAAUAAAAAUAAUGUAUAAUAAUAUUAAUUGGAAUAUUUAAAUUAAUAUUUUAAGUUAUAGUAAAAUUGAAUAUAACUAAAAUAUUAAUGUAUAAAUUAAAUUUAUGAGAUAUAAUAUGGUUUUUUAAAAGUUAAACAGUAAAAAAGAAAUGAGUUGAUUUAGAGUGAUGUGGCAUAGUAGAACCUAUUUAAAUGGAUUAUGUUGAGUUCAUUGGAACAAAAAAGGAAUGAGUUGCUUCAAGAUGAUGUGACACAGUAGACCUCAUUUAAUGAACUCAUAUUGAGUUCACUAUUGGAGAUGCUAGUAUGAUGCGACAUUGAAGAAACCACUUGAUAGUAGUUAUGGAUCUUGAAAUGUUUUCUUAAAAACUUAGAGAUGCUCUUCAAGCUUCAAGGGGUUAUUUUUAUUUAUAAGGGUCAAAGUGAUUAGAUACUCUUGGAGUAAGAAAAAAAAAAGUAGGUGUUUACGGUGAACACAGCAUAAUAAACUCCCGUGCCUAUUUUGUUUUAAUGAAAAGAAAGAAAAAAAUUCUUUAAACAACUCACUUUUAUAAUUUUUAUUUGCACUCAAUUUUAUCAUAAAUAAGAAUAUGUAUUCAUUUAUUUUAAUUUAUACUAAACUUAUAUUAAUUAUUCAAAAAAUAAAAUAUAUUUAUUUUAAUUAAUUUUUAUCAAUAAUAAGUUAACAACAAUAAGAAAUACAUAAAUAUGAUGAAAAUAUAUAAUACUGAGAAAUACAUAAUAAAUAUGACAAAUGAUGCCAUUUCAAACCACAAAGCAAUGUUGAAAUGUUUAAACAAUUGCAUAUUUAUCUAAUCAACACUGAACUCAACAAUAAUGUCUCAAUUUUUUUUCAAUUGCUCCUAUAUGUAAAUGAAGGGCCACUAAAAAAAACGCAGUACUUUCACUCUUCCAACGCCCCUCCACUCGCUCAUUCAUUAUUUCCAAAACUAACUACACCAAAGAGAACAUUGGAUUUAUAUCUCAACACUUUCACUCCUACAUCGAUUAUUUUUGAAAAAUUCAAUUUACUUCUAUCAAUUUUAUUAUUCAAAAAACUUUAGAUCUAUUAUUUAUCCCACACAAAUAUAAAAUCAGUAAGAAAUUUUAUUUUUCAAAAAUCCAAUUUAAAAAUUAACAUACUAAAAAUUUAAAAUUUUCGGUGCGUAAAAGAAUUUAUAUACAAUAUAUUUCACAAACAAAAUUUUGAAUAUGUAAAACAAAUUGAGGAAAAAAUAAUUAUACCAAAAAUUUAUGGUAUUUGAAAAAAAAAUAGAGAAAAAAAGUUAUAUUCGAAAUUUUAAAAAAAAUCAUAUUAUAAAUUUCAAAAACUUUGAAUUUCUUGCAUGUAAAAUAAAUUGAGAAAAAAUUUUAUAUACCGAAAAUUUCAAAAACUCUAAAUUUCUGAUAUUUAAAAAAAAACAUAGAGUCUGAGUUUAAAAAAUAGGCUGAAUUUGUUUAAAAUAUUUGUAUUUUCUACAAAUGUAUUUGUAACACCUCAAAUACUGUAUAAUACGUUUAUUAUUAUUUUACUAAUAAUUAUGUAUUUAUAUUUUUAUUGUCAUAAUUCAUAUAUUUAUAGUAAUCUUUUUUAUUUUAUUUAAUCAUAAAUGAUUGUUAAUUAUUCAAGUGAAGUUUAGUUUAGGAAGUUCUUACUAGUGUGUUUGUUAUAGUUGGGGAAUGAAUUAAAAAUAAAUCCAAUGGAAAUCUCAAGUUCAACUACAAAUAAUUCAUUUUGUAGUCAAACAUAACUUAUCAUUAGUAAAGAUUUGGAGGAGCGUGAUAGAUAAUUUUCAUCACACUUCGUAUGACUCAAAACUCAAUUGUUAGAAAGGAAAAAAAAAUGAAUGAAAGAAAGAAAGAGGGAGGACAUAAACUAAAAGAAGAGGGAAAAUUAAGAAGAAAGAAGAAAAAGAAGAGAGAAAACACCAUCACUCUCCCUUGCAUGUUUUACCUCCAAGCUUACCUACAUUAUUCCUUUACGGUAUAUUGAAUACAAAUGAGGAGAGGAAGAUAAAAAGAAAGAGGGUUAGGUUUGACUCUUGAAGAAACAAAAUGAAGAUUGAAGAUGAAGGUCAAGUGACGGUUAUUAUCAAUAAAUGAGAUUAAAGCUUAACCUUAGAAAAAGCCACAACUCUCUCACAUCUACAAGUUAAUGUAACAUAUAAAACUCUCUUAAAACCUCUCUUAGGUGUGCUUAGAGAUCAUGAUUUGUAUGUUUGGAUAUUGAGAUAAUCAUAUUUGAUUUAAUAUCAUUGAUUAUUAAUAAUGCAUGAUAAGUGUUUGUAUUAAUUACUAUGAAGAGUUAUAGUUUUAUUAUGAUUGUUGAGUGAUGUGGUUGAGUUGGUGAUGAGAUGAUAAUUGUUUAGUAUUGAUAAUUAAUCGAUUUAUGCUUAAUUGUUUAGUAUUGAUAAUUAAUUGAAAUGAAAAUAGUAUAAUGUCUCUGAACCCGUAUAGGUAUACAUUUGGUAUUUGUUCAUAACUUUCUCUAUAUAUAGUGUUUUGAGCUGAUUUUUAUUCCAUUAGAAAAUAGAUUUAAUUACUAUCAAAAUAAACACUGAUUUCACUAAAUUUCAUUGAAAAUUGAUAAAGGAACUUGAGUUACAAGUUGAAAAAAAAAUUGUUGUUGCGUUUUUGCACAUUGAUACCUUAUUUUAUUAAACUGCAUUAAUUGAAUGUCUGUUAUGCAAAAUAAAAAUUAUAUUUAUAAAUCAGACAUCUUAAGCUUUCCAAAAUAUUAUCGUUUGUUCAAAUCAGACAUUGCUUGAUGUUUUAAUUAAAUUGCCAAAGUUAUAGUGUUUUCUGCAUAAAAUUAUUAUGACGUAGCUGAGUUAAAAUGAGUAUAACAUAAGUAAUAGGAAUCAGUUUUGAGUGAAAUUAGUUGGGUCCGCAAGAAGACAUAUAGUAAUUUUAUCAAGUUAAGAUGUACGGUUUUUAUAAAUAUAAAAAUGACUUAGUAGUAUUGUAAACACAAUUAUUAUGUCAUAAGAUUAUUAUGUAAUGUUGUUAAUUUUAUAAUACCAUAACUUGAGUUAUAUAGAUCAAUUUCGAGUGAAACUAAUUACAUUUGAAAAUUUAAAUAUAACAACUACUUUCUGGAAGUUUGAUGCUAAUACAUGGUGUGUGUGUGUGUGUAUAUAUAUACACAUAUGAUUUAUAUGUUAAGUUCAUGUUCAAUUGUGUGAAUGGAGACUACUCAUAUGUUAUGAUUAUAUAUAUAUAUAUAUAUAUAUAUAUAUUAUAGCUAGAUGAACUAUUCGUCUAUAUAUGACGGAAGUGACGGGUAAAUGGGAUACUACUUACGGACUUAAUUAUAUUAAAUAUUAUCAAAAGAUGUUUAUUCAAGUAGAUGACAUUGAGUGAAACUAAUGUAGUCUUUAUGACUUACUUGCUAUGUAGAAUUUAAGUCAUUAGAUUACUUAUGUCUAUUGGCUUAAAUUAUUUGAAAGAUUUGAAGCCAGAGGUGAAAGCAGUACCUGAGUAUAACUUAUGAAUAAAUAAUAUUUUAUUAUAUUGAGGUAUAGUUUAUCGAGAGGAUUUUCCAUGCUUAACAUACCAGAAUGGCUAUGAAACAUCUAUAAUUAUUUUUAUUAAUUCUAUGUUAUUGAGUUUUAUGUUCACAAUGUUGAGGUGAUGUUUUCUAUGUACAUGUUAUUGAAAGUCUAAGGAGUAUUUAGAUUGCUCACCAAUCUUUCAAUGUCAUGAAUUGGAGUUAGAUCACAUCUUGAGUUUAGAUUACACUUAUACUUUAAUUAAGUGUUACUUGAAAGUUGUUUUAAAGUUUGUAAAUAUUUUAAUAUUCUAAAUAAUUUUAAGAAUUUAUAAAAAAAAAAAUUAUAUUUAUUUGCAAACACUUAGAUACUUUUAAAUUGAAAGUUUUAGUUUCAUAAUUAAAUUUUAGACAUUAAUAUAUUUUUGGAAGUUCAUACAAAAAUUAUAAAAUAUGGAAUAUGAAAUCCAAUUCUCCAAUACCAAAGGCGACAUAUUGGAUUAUGUCAAAUUGGUGAGGUCUUUAAAUUUUUUCAUAUUAUAAUAAAAUGAGGAUGAAUUUUAUUUUGUUAUAUUAUGCCAAAAUAAAUUUAUUCACAUUUAAUCUCUAUUUUAAUUUUAUAAAAACUUUUUUUAGUAACUAAAAAUAUUAUUUUUUUAUAAAAAAAUUAAAAUAAGGACUAAAAGUGAAUAAAAAAAUUUAAAGAAUAAAAAUUUGAAAUUUUUUAUAUAGAAAAUAAAAUUUAUUUUACUUUUUUAUUAUCAUUAAAAUUGAUUUUAUUUAUUUAUUAGAAUCUAAUUUUUAAUAUUAGAACGUGUUAAGACGACUUUGAUGAAAUUUUUAUCUUCUCUCCUAACUGAAGAAGGAUAUUAUUUGUUUAAUGUAAUAGAAUCGUAUCUUAAUUAAGAAACCUUGCAAAAUGUUAAGAAACCUUGCAAAAUGUUAAGAAACCUUGAAUGCCGCGUAGGGCAGGUCUGGGGUUUUUAUUUAUUUUUAUUAGACAUGGCUAAAGCUCAAAAGAAGACUACAAAGAAAAUAGCUUAUGACUAUAAACUCUCUUAACAUCAACAAACAGAUCACUAAGGGACUUCAUUGACAUUGACACACAACCUAGUUGUAGAAUCAAGUCGCUUUUCACUCCAAACAUUUAUUGAAUUUCCGCUACGCACAUUCCACGUCUCAAAUUGCAUGGAAGGCCAGACUUUAGCCACAUUGUAUUUAACCAAACAUUGUAUAAAAAAACAAGUAUUUGACCAAACAAGUUUGGUUCAAGAUGGGAAAAUAAUGAUUGAUUUUUCAAUUUUGGACCCAAAGAUCUCUGUCCAAUAUAGUUUAGUGGAA